GAGAGUUUGAUCCUGGCUCAGGAUGAACGCUAGCUACAGGCUUAACACAUGCAAGUCGAGGGGCAGCAUGGUCUUAGCUUGCUAAGGCCGAUGGCGACCGGCGCACGGGUGAGUAACACGUAUCCAACCUGCCGUCUACUCUUGGACAGCCUUCUGAAAGGAAGAUUAAUACAAGAUGGCAUCAUGAGUCCACAUGUUCACAUGAUUAAAGGUAUUCCGGUAGACGAUGGGGAUGCGUUCCAUUAGAUAGUAGGCGGGGUAACGGCCCACCUAGUCUUCGAUGGAUAGGGGUUCUGAGAGGAAGGUCCCCCACAUUGGAACUGAGACACGGUCCAAACUCCUACGGGAGGCAGCAGUGAGGAAUAUUGGUCAAUGGGCGAGAGCCUGAACCAGCCAAGUAGCGUGAAGGAUGACUGCCCUAUGGGUUGUAAACUUCUUUUAUAAAGGAAUAAAGUCGGGUAUGCAUACCCGUUUGCAUGUACUUUAUGAAUAAGGAUCGGCUAACUCCGUGCCAGCAGCCGCGGUAAUACGGAGGAUCCGAGCGUUAUCCGGAUUUAUUGGGUUUAAAGGGAGCGUAGAUGGAUGUUUAAGUCAGUUGUGAAAGUUUGCGGCUCAACCGUAAAAUUGCAGUUGAUACUGGAUGUCUUGAGUGCAGUUGAGGCAGGCGGAAUUCGUGGUGUAGCGGUGAAAUGCUUAGAUAUCACGAAGAACUCCGAUUGCGAAGGCAGCCUGCUAAGCUGCAACUGACAUUGAGGCUCGAAAGUGUGGGUAUCAAACAGGAUUAGAUACCCUGGUAGUCCACACGGUAAACGAUGAAUACUCGCUGUUUGCGAUAUACUGCAAGCGGCCAAGCGAAAGCGUUAAGUAUUCCACCUGGGGAGUACGCCGGCAACGGUGAAACUCAAAGGAAUUGACGGGGGCCCGCACAAGCGGAGGAACAUGUGGUUUAAUUCGAUGAUACGCGAGGAACCUUACCCGGGCUUAAAUUGCAGAUGAAUUACGGUGAAAGCCGUAAGCCGCAAGGCAUCUGUGAAGGUGCUGCAUGGUUGUCGUCAGCUCGUGCCGUGAGGUGUCGGCUUAAGUGCCAUAACGAGCGCAACCCUUGUUGUCAGUUACUAACAGGUUCUGCUGAGGACUCUGACAAGACUGCCAUCGUAAGAUGUGAGGAAGGUGGGGAUGACGUCAAAUCAGCACGGCCCUUACGUCCGGGGCUACACACGUGUUACAAUGGGGGGUACAGAGGGCCGCUACCACGCGAGUGGAUGCCAAUCCCAAAAACCUCUCUCAGUUCGGACUGGAGUCUGCAACCCGACUCCACGAAGCUGGAUUCGCUAGUAAUCGCGCAUCAGCCACGGCGCGGUGAAUACGUCCCCGGGCCUUGUACACACCGCCCGUCAAGCCAUGGGAGCCGGGGGUACCUGAAGUGCGUAACCGCGAGGAGCGCCCUAGGGUAAAACUGGUGACUGGGGCUAAGUCGUAACAAGGUAGCCG
rnacentral:rRNA from 1 species